AUGACUGAUGCAUAUGAAUACUUGAAAGUUGGCACAAACGUCUUUCUCAACAGCUACAAGUUGGGAAUGAAUCAGUUUGGUGACAUGACAACUGAGGAGUUCAGACAGCUGAUGAAUGGCUAUAUACACAAGAAGUCAGAAAGGAAGUACAGAGGAUCCCAGUUUCUUGAGCCCAGCUUCCUGGAAGCGCCACGAUCAGCAGACUGGAGACAGAAGGGAUAUGUAACUCUAGUUAAAGACCAGGGUCAGCGUGGCUCUUGCUGGGCUUUCAGCACAACAGGAGCUCUUGAAGGGCAGCACUUCAGCAAAACUGGCAAACUUGUGUCGCUGAGUGAACAGAAUCUGGUGGACUGCUCUCACCCUGAAGGGAAUCAAAGCUGCAACGGUGGUCUCAUGGACCAGGCUUUCCAGUAUGUGCAGGGUAAUGGGGGAAUAGAUGAAGACUGUCACUACAAGGCAGAGUACAAUGCUGCUAAUGACACUGGCUUUGUUGACAUCCCUCAAGGACAUGAAAGAACUCUCAUGAAAGCAGUAGCAGCUGUGGGUCCAGUGUCUGUUGCUAUUGAUGCAGGCCACUCUUCAUUCCAGUUCUAUCAGUCAGGUAUCUACUAUGAACCAGACUGCAGCAGUGAAGACCUGGACCAUGGUGUUCUGCUUGUAGGUUAUGGCUUUGAGGGGGAAGAUGUAGAUGGGAAGAAAUACUGGAUUGUUAAGAACAGCUGGGGUGAGAAUUGGGGUGACAAAGGAUAUAUCUACAUGGCCAAGGACAGGAAGAACCACUGUGGAAUAGCAACAGCUGCUAGCUAUCCACUUGUAUAAUUUGAAGACUGAACAUUUCAGUGCAAGAGGGGAUUUAAACUGAAUGACCAAACCCAUGUUCACACAUGUGGUAGACUUGUAUCUUUCAAAAGUCAACUUGAUUUUUUUUAAACUUUUGAAGUAUGUUUUACAUGUUGGUGACAUGCCACUUGUUUUAAAUUAAUGUAAAUGUUGGUAUGUAAACAGCUUGUAAUAUUGCUGGCUUUUGACUGCUUAAUCUAAUAGAUUCUUCUUUAUAUUUUUUCCUUUUUUUUAAAUUGCAGUGUGCCCAAAAGUUUAUUUUCUAAAUAAAUACUUAAAUUCCAGUGUGUACAGAAAGAGAGAGAAAAAAAAAG